AUUGAACGCUGGCGGCAGGCCUAACACAUGCAAGUCGAACGAGUGGCGGACGGGUGAGUAAUGUCUGGGAAACUGCCCGAUGGAGGGGGAUAACUACUGGGAACGGUGGGUAAUACCGCAUACCAUCGGAUCUGCCCGAAUGGGAUUAGCUUGUAGGGGAGGUAACGGCUCACCUAGGCGACGAUCCCUAGCUGGCCUGAGAGGAUGACCAGCCACACUGGAACUGAGACACGGUCCAGACUCCUACGGGAGGCAGCAGUGGGGAAUAUUGCACAAUGGGCGCAAGCCUGAUGCAGCCAUGCCGCGUGUAUGAAGAAGGCCUUCGGGUUGUAAAGUACUUUCAGCGGGGAGGCGUUACCCGCUGAGGAAGCACCGGCUAACUCCGUGCCAGCAGCCGCGGUAAUAC
rnacentral:rRNA from 1 species